UACGUAGGGACCAAGCGUUGUUCGGAUUUACUGGGCGUAAAGGGCGCGUAGGCGGCGUGUUAAGUCAGCUGUGAAAUCUCCAAGCUUAACUUGGAACGGUCAGCUGAUACUGAUGUGCUAGAGUGCAGAAAGGGCAAUCGGAAUUCUUGGUGUAGCGGUGAAAUGCGUAGAUAUCAAGAGGAACACCUGAGGCGAAGGCGGGUUGCUAGGCUGACACUGACGCUGAUGCGCGAAAGCCAGGGGAGCGAACGGG
rnacentral:rRNA from 1 species